AGCAGCCGCGGUAAUUCCAGCUCCAAUAGCGUAUAUUAAAGUUGUUGCAGUUAAAAAAGCUCGUAGUUGAAUUUCGGGGUCAGUAGAUUGGUCGUGCCACUGGUAUGUACUGGUCUUACUGGCUCCUCCUUCCUGAUGAACCGUAAUGCCAUUUAAUUUGGUGUUGCGGGGAGACUGGACUGUUACUUUGAAAAAAUUAGAGUGUUUAAAGCAGGCUAACGCUUGAAUACAUUAGCAUGGAAUAAUGAAAUAGGACGUUCGAUCUUAUUUUGUUGGUUUCUAGGAUUGACGUAAUGAUUAAUAGGGAUAGUUGGGGGCAUUAGUAUUCAAUUGUCAGAGGUGAAAUUCUUGGAUUUAUUGAAGACUAACUACUGCGAAAGCAUUUGCCAAGGAUGUUUUCAUUAAUCAAGAACGAAAGUUAGGGGAUCGAAGAUGAUCAGAUACCGUCGU
rnacentral:rRNA from 1 species